GAUUAUUUGCUGCCCAGUAAUAUCAUGGCUUGCACUUUCUGUGUGGAUCAGGAUCAUGUUUGCUGAUGUUCUUUUGGACAGAAGAAAGGUUGUGGAUGUUACAGAAGUGACAUCCAUUCCUGCUUGCUAAAAAUCACCUGCCACCUCAACUGGAUACAUCUGUCUCUGUUUCCUGUCCUUGCUCCAGAUCAUUGCUACUGGGGCCUUGCUUUUCUUCCACCGAAGGAGAUGGGAGCUUUGCCACAGCUGCAGUGACAGCAGUAGGAGAGCAGACACAGAUUAGGCAAGGUGUUGGAGGAUUUUCUGCACGCUCUUAGGUAUAAUGGAAACCAGUGAGACUGAGCUGGCUGACAAAGGAGCUGCAAGAGGACUAACACAGAGGACACCUAAACCCACCUAGCACAGAAAUCACUGGGGCUUUGAUGCAGCUGCACUGGUAGAGGGCUACUUACACCAAUGUAAUGAUAAAAAUAUGGCAGCGUUUUUGGUGUAUUUUUUCCAGUAAACAAGGUAUGUAUAUUGCAGCCUGUCCCAAACUGAUGAAGUUUCCUUUGAUUUGUGUUCAAAAUAUGUUCUAUGAAGUUUCCUGAGCCAGCAAGUGAGGUUUCUUUUUUCUGCACCCUCCCUUCCCAGUUUGAACAGCUAUUUUAAACUGGAGGUGUGGCCACUGAGACAGACACACACAUGCUGUCAGUGCUGGCCUUGACAUUUGUUCUGUUGCCAGUUAACCUUUUCCCCCAAUACCAACCUCCUGUUUACAUUAACCCUUGAUCAACAAGCCUUGUUCUCCUUCUGUCUUUUAGGAACUGUGUCAUAAAUUGCAGUAAAUUAAUUUAUUUAUGGAUUCUGAACUUGAACAACUUCCAUGAGCACAAGGUAAACUGAAGCAUAUGUUCCACUAUGCCGCUCGAUACAGCAGUCAGAAGAGGAAGAACAUCCACACUCCACCUCUGUGAUGGCGUGAUACACUUCAGAAUGUGGAAGGGAAAGAAGAAAACCCAGUAAGAGAGACUGGAGCUCUAAGCCUCAUACUGUAAACAUCACCCAGAUGAUGCUGUGGCAAGAAAAUAGAUCAUGGAAUGCAUUGAAACAGCCACACAAAUCCUCCAGACCAUGAUUUAUUUUGCGAGAUCCUGUUUUAUCUCAUCAUGAGGGACUUGGUAAGCUUGAGAAGCCCUCUGAUACAGCCCCCGACUGGUUGAGAGGCACAGCUGCCAGCCAUUCACCUCGGAGCCAUCUUUUACCUGAAGGGUCAGACCUUGGGUUCACACUCCACACGAAUGGACAGCAGUUAUACAGAAGCUUAGAAGCAAAUACCCUAAACACUGUGAAACACGACUGUAAAUAAAACU